AUUGAACGCUGGCGGCAUGCUUUACACAUGCAAGUCGAGCGGUAACAGGCCGCAAGGUGCUGACGAGUGGCGAACGGGUGAGUAAUGCAUCGGAACGUGCCCAGUCGUGGGGGAUAACUACUCGAAAGAGUAGCUAAUACCGCAUACGAUCUAUGGAUUAAAGCGGGGGACCGUAAGGCCUCGCGCGAUUGGAGCGGCCGAUGUCAGAUUAGGUAGUUGGUGGGGUAAAGGCUCACCAAGCCAACGAUCUGUAGCUGGUCUGUGAGGACGACCAGCCACACCGGGAAUGAGACAAGGGCCCGACUCCUAAGGGAGGCAACAGUAGGGAAAUUUUGGCAAUGGGGGAAAGCCUGAACGAGGAAAGGCGCGGGGGAGAAAAAGGGCUUGGGGGUGUAAAACUCUUUUUUUAGGGAAGAAAAGGGGUGUGGGUAACUCCGGGGGUAAAGACGGGAACCAAAAAAAAAGCCACGGCUAAAUAAGGG
rnacentral:rRNA from 1 species